CUCUUAUAAUAUCAGAAAAUAAUAAAAUAAGAUACCUACAAUUAUUAUUAUUAUUAUUAUAGAAAUAAAAACUCACGCUCCAAUAUUUCCUUCAUCACUUUGGGGAAAUCCAAAACCUAAUAGUUCAUAUCCCUGGCAAUUUGGUCUUGCUAUUGGUGAUUUGUUGUUUCCUCAAAAAUACUGGGUCAACCCUCUCCAUCUCCUUACUAGAAAAAACCCUAGAAUGCCAAUUUCAUAGUCAAAUUCAUACAAACUCCAUAUUGAUUCUGAAAUUCCAUUUCAAUUAUAAAAAAAAUGGCAUCGGAGAUUGAGGAGGUGCAAUCAAUAAAUGUUGAACUAUCAUCGUCUUCGACGGUGGUUAACGGCGGCGUUGAGGAGGAGAGUUUAACGAACGAUCUAUAUGCUGCAGCUGGACGCCGUGUGUGAUUUUCAGUGCUUAUUUAGCUAUUUUCUCUUAAUUUUUUCGACAAAUGAAUGCUUUACCUAUUUCUUCUGAUUUAGGAUAUGUAUUUUUGCAGCUCUCUUGGUUUUGUAGGUAUGUUUAUGAACUCUUUCUUUCACUACAUGAACAAUCGUUAAUGUUUUCACUUCCAUUUAUCAUAAAAUUCUGAGACUAUCCUUACUUAUGUGGUGACAAAUUCAAGAAUGACAAGUUUGUGCUAAAACAAUUUAGCUUAUAUGGUUUGGGAGAGUUGAGAAUUGUCGGGUCUAUUUUUUUUGGUAUGGGGUCUUGUUUAUACCCAUCAAUUGAUGAUACUAAUUAUGCAAUUUUUUCUUGUCAAAUUAUUGCUACAGAGUGUACUGCUCAUGUUUAAGUCCAGUUGCAAUUUGUUUCUUCAUAUUGUUGAUUCUAUCUUAAAUCUGACCUUCUUGCUAUUAUUGCAGCCUAUCAUUUCUGUUAUUGUAGUGUUUGUCAAUAAAACACUGAUUUAUAGCAGCCCACGAGAUUACACUUGAUAUUAGUUUCAGCCUAUCAUUUUCGUUAUUAUAGCAGCCCAUGAGAUUACAUAUGAUUUAGCAUCUUCAAGGUACAAUUACUACUCAUCUUCUUAAAUUUUAUUUAAUUUCCUUUUCUUAGUGCGUGGCUCUAAACUAAUACUUUCUGCACUUUUCAUAGUAACUAGUCACUGUAAAAUCAGCCCUGUUACUAUGCAUCCAUCUACUUUUAUCCUCCUCUGGGGGUCACUUUAAACAUGUUUUAGACUGUUUAACAGGUUCAGCAGCUGGGUAAUUUCCUACUCAUAGAAACUUCUCCUCAUUAUAAUGUUCUUCCAAUAGUAUCAUAUUUUUAUACUAUAGAAAUGCUGGUUUGGACAUAUCUGUUUGAUGUCAAUACAAAACUAAGUUGAGGGCAUUACAGUCUUUACACAGCAGAUCUAAGAAAAAUGUUCUUCAACCCUAGAAAAGUAGAAAUGAACUGUCACCACAUCAAUUGUUUCACUUUCCCUCUCCCGUUCGACCUUCCUCUACAAUGCUUUACAUCAUCCUUAAUUUUCAUUUUUACAAAGGCUAUGGUGGAGGCAGUUCCAGUUUGUCUCUCUAUUUAUGUCGUUUCGGGUAAAAUUUUCCUAUAUUAUUUCUCAUUCUAGGAUUUUUCUUGUGAUUUAUGAGUUUCUACUCUACCCUAACCAUUGUUAGUUUUGAUUGGAAUUUGGGAGUUCUUCCACAUAACUUGUUUUAUAACUUGUUUUCGUCUAGAUUGGUUGUUUCCUCAAUUAAGAGUCUAUAGUUAGAACCUUUUUUGCUCAUGUAAUAUAUAUAUAUAUAUAUAUAUAUAUAUAUAUAUAUAUAUAUAUAUAUAUAUAUAUAUAGUUUGUACUUUCUUGUCUCCAUAUAAACAAAUGUCAAUACCAUUGUAAAACAGGUGUACUAAAAAGUGCAAAAAAAACUGGCUUUGCUUCACAACUAUGCCAAAAUGCCUCCAAAGAUGGAUCCCUCUCAAGUAAUCUCCAAGCAAAAUAGAAUCAAAGGUAUGAUUUUUAGAGAAUCCAGAAUUUAACCUGUACCUGCAAACAGAAUCGACCUUUUACACGACCAAAAAGAUGUGGUUUUGAACGGUGACUUGGAGACCCUUCCAGUCCUUUGGAAUGUCUUCACCGAUUACAAAGAUUUAGACAUCUGUAUCCCUAUGGAUUUGAGCCUUUUCUCUUCUUUCCUCUUCAACUAAGUCUAUCAUUUAGUAUCUAUCAUUUAGUAUCUUUUUAUGGAUGAUACAUAUAUUUAUUUUUGUCUUUCUUCAUGUUUCUUUGUUAAUUCAGAACAGGAGUUUGAUUGUUUGUUCAAAUGCAGUCUUAUGAAUCUUUUGUGUGUAAGAGCAUGUUCCACUAAUAAACUACUUAACAUUGAUAUUGCUAAGGUGUUUGAUAAUUUUAUGCCUAAAGUAACUAAUCAAAGUUUCUAUUCUUUUCCUUUUUUAACAUAGGAGUUUUACACCUUGAAUAUCAUUCACCAAUUCAAGAGGUAUAUUUUUAAUUACUACUAGACAAUAUUAGUAAGUUAUAUUAGAGAAUUGCUUUUGACAUUUUUUUUCUAUUCGCUUCCACAUUAUUUUGAUUUCAAUUUUCAAUAUAUGAGUUGUCAAAAUACUUGAACAAAUAGUCUACUUUCACUUGAUGAUGCCUUUUUGUACUCCAGAUAUUCUGAAUACAAUCGAGCACCAAAUAUUGAUACAAUUUCAAGAAAAAAUGGCACCUGUUAAUUUUAUUCAUUCAACUGAUGAUGAAUGACUCAUCAGUGAAAAUGAGUAAUGCUUCACUCUUUGAAGCUUGAAAAUACAAACACAUAAGCAUAAACAUCACGUAAACCCCUUUUUAACUACAAAGUCUAUCACACUAAUAUGAAAUUUGAAAUCGAUAAGAUAACCCCAAUGCAUAUCUGAAUGUAUGAUAAGUUGUCAAAAAAGAUCUUGAUUUUAUGUAAUCGGAUGGGAUAUAUCGGAUAUCUAUAUCUUUCGUUCUUAUCUGUUAUUUGGAGUUGUAUGCAGUAUGUUGGAGUUACUGUUUUUAUUUUGUCUGAUCUGAUGAAGGCUAUAUUAUUCCCGUUAAAAUUCAACUGCUUUUAGGAUUUAAUGGAGAAUUACACGUACUUUUGGUGCUUCUACUUUGUUAUUCUCUUUUUAAAAGAAGAAUCUGAAUAUUGUGUAGUUGGCCACUUCAAAAUACAAAAUAUUGUUAGGUUCUAAAAGAAUGCAGCUGUAGUUGUUGAAAAUAUAAAUUUGUAUUCCACCCCAAAUAACAAGAGCCUAACUUAGAUUAAUUUUUCCAAUCGAAGUGCUUGCAAGAAGAUACUAGAUGUGGGAAUAUAAAUAGAAAAAGUGAUCGGAAUUUGAACAAACCAAGAACAACAGGACAAAGAAAAUUAAAUUAACGGUAUAUAUUUUUGAUGCAUUUUAUUCAUGAACAUUUUUACUAUAUCCAAUUGUCCGUUGUUGUUAAUGUCAAUAGUGACUGCUUCAUUGAUCAUUGGAGCAUUUUUUAUGGAUGCAGGUACCCAGUAGUGCUAUGGCUGGCAAUAAUAUGGAAGAUGUUAUUUCUUCAUCCCUUGACAUAAGCAAGGAAAGAUGAAUCUUAAAAGUUGAGCGGCCAACAUAAAAUGAUAGCGCUUUAGAAGUUGAAAUAGGAUUAUGAUGACGAAUUUUGCAACUGACAUUGUUGCUGCUGGAGAUAAGCGCUUCGUAUCGAAAUUUGAGUUUAAACUCUAGAGGCCAUUGCAGUCAUAUUCAGUGGGUCAACUGGAUGUCUUCAAGUUUUGGAAGGGUACAAAGGAGUUUUCAAAGUAUUUCCCUGAUAAAUGAUGCAAACAGUUGGCUUCACACUUCACAUACAAUUUUUUCAUUGCACAUAGAGAGGAGGUGCUUCAAUCUUUACAUAGCAGAAAAUCAUUUGUCUUAUUGCCAAGCUGUGUAUUGUAGUGUGCUCCAAUGGUGACGUACGUGUAUCUAUAGUAGGAACCACUUCAUCAUGAAAUAAGUGAUGUGAAUACGAGGAUACAAAUUCGUUAGUCUUGAUUGAUAUCCUAUACUAUCAUUUAACAGCAGCUCUACACCCCUCCCAAAAAGAAAAUGGAAUUUCUAAAUUCAAUAUGCCAGCAUGGGCCAUUGCCCCCUAGUACUAGUAUAAACCUUCAUAAUUCUAAUACAAUCAGGUAUAAGAAGUAUGAGUUGUCUCUUUGUCGGGAUAAUACUCAACUCUUUUUUCUUUCUUCUUUAUCCGAGUAAGCACCAAUAUUUACAAUAUCUAAACUCCUUUGGAUAAACUUAACUCUUUUUUUUUCUUCUUCAUCCCGGUAAGCCUAGGUUUUUUCCCCUCAUGUUUGACAAGAAGAUACUGGUGCAGUGCAGGUUUUGGGGAAUAUAUUGAAGAAGUAUAUGCUGCAUAUGAACAACACAAACUAGAGACCACGGUAACUUCUUUUUUCUUUAUCAUCUUACUUUAGUUUUAAUGUAUGGACGACCUAUUAUUCCAGCUUCUCUGUUGAACUGCCAUCCCUUUCAAUUUCUCAUAGAGCUCUCAUCUUAUCGGUUUCUUUUCAUCUAUCUUCUCCGCCCCCGGCCAUAUUAAUUUUUAGUUUCUUUUACCAACUGCUUUAUAUGUUUUUCCUUUUUGCUCUAUUGUGACUUCAUGAUUACUUUGAUAUUUUCAAAUAAAUGCUUCUUAAGGUGCAUCUCCAUUGCAGUUUUUAGGUUAAAGAUAAUGUUAGCUAUAGACAACAAUUAUUUUUAUUUGAGUGGAGACAUACAUGAUGAAUAAUUGGAGGUUUCAUUAGAUUGUGUAAUGCUCUUUGUUUUCAGCUCUAUUUAUGUACAUGAAGAUUAAGUGGUUCGUUAGAUUGUGUAAUUUGCUCGAUAUCUAGCUCUCAAAAUAGUUUGGUGAUAAGGUUAAUAACUUUACUUUUUCCCUGUAAUCUUGAAAUCUGUAAUUGGACUAUAUAUGAAAAUGGCAUUCUUUGGAGGAGAAGAAAGAUACAGUAUCCAGAUUUUCUUCUCCAAUAUGUUAUAUUUUAUAUACAAUCUGAUCUUUAUAAUUUACUAUAGAGAUUUUACUUUUUGUAUUUUUACCGGGGUUAGAAGAGUUUCAAGGACAAGUCAAGAUGGGAAUUUUGAAGACUUCAUACAAGUUGAGAAAUUGGUUGUCAUUUUCUUAGGAGAAUAUAUUUUAUUUGGCUUAGAGGUUGUGUAAACAAUACCAUGACAUGUGCAUUGUGGUUAUACCACUACAAUGGGAUGUUAAUACCCUUUUUUUCUAUAACAGUUACCAAUUUCAGAUUUUUAAAUGCAUAUUUGUUUAUGAAA